rnacentral:rRNA from 1 species
AAUGAACGCUGGCGGCAUGCCUAACACAUGCAAGUCGAACGAAGGCCCGAUUUCGGUUGGGUCCUUAGUGGCGCACGGGUGCGUAACGCGUGGGAAUCUGCCCCUCGGUUCGGAAUAACAGUUAGAAAUGACUGCUAAUACCGGAUGAUGACGUAAGUCCAAAGAUUUAUCGCCGAGGGAUGAGCCCGCGUAGGAUUAGCUAGUUGGUGUGGUAAGAGCGCACCAAGGCGACGAUCCUUAGCUGGUCUGAGAGGAUGAUCAGCCACACUGGGACUGAGACACGGCCCAGACUCCUACGGGAGGCAGCAGUGGGGAAUAUUGGACAAUGGGCGAAAGCCUGAUCCAGCAAUGCCGCGUGAGUGAUGAAGGCCUUAGGGUUGUAAAGCUCUUUUACCCGGGAUGAUAAUGACAGUACCGGGAGAAUAAGCUCCGGCUAACUCCGUGCCAGCCGCCGCAGUAA